rnacentral:rRNA from 1 species
UACAGAGACUGCAAGCGUUAUUCGGAUUCACUGGGCGUAAAGGGUGCGCAGGCGGCCAAGUGUGUGAGGCGUGAAAGCCCGGGGCUUAACCCCGGAAUUGCACCUCAAACUACAUGGCUAGAGCAUUGGAGAGGUAGCAGAAUUCAUGGUGUAGCAGUGAAAUGCGUAGAUAUCAUGAGGAAUACCAGAGGCGAAGGCGGCUACCUGGACAAUUGCUGACGCUCAGGCACGAAAGCGUGGGGAGCAAAAGGG